rnacentral:rRNA from 1 species
CCUGGCUCAGAACGAACGCUGGCGGCAUGCCUAACACAUGCAAGUCGAACGAAGUCUUCGGACUUAGUGGCGCACGGGUGCGUAACGCGUGGGAAUCUGCCUUUGGGUUCGGAAUAACAGUGAGAAAUUACUGCUAAUACCGGAUGAUGUCUUCGGACCAAAGAUUUAUCGCCCAAAGAUGAGCCCGCGUAAGAUUAGCUAGUUGGUGAGGUAAAGGCUCACCAAGGCGACGAUCUUUAGCUGGUCUGAGAGGAUGAUCAGCCACACUGGGACUGAGACACGGCCCAGACUCCUACGGGAGGCAGCAGUGGGGAAUAUUGGACAAUGGGCGAAAGCCUGAUCCAGCAAUGCCGCGUGAGUGAUGAAGGCCUUAGGGUUGUAAAGCUCUUUUACCAGGGAUGAUAAUGACAGUACCUGGAGAAUAA